UUAAUUUUUUCAAAAAAAAAAAAAAAGUUUUUGAGACGUAAACGAAGACUCUUAUUAUUUUCCUUCGUUAUCCAUUUACCAAUUCUAAUCUCUUUCUUUCUCUCUCUAACUUAUUCUCUCUCCUCAGAUCUUCUUCUACCUGUUUCUUUCUCUGGUGAUUUUUGGUUUCGACCCAUUUCCUCAAUCUUCUCGAUUGUUUCAUUUCUGAUUCGUAUAUACGUUUUCAUUUCAUAAAGUUUUCAUUUUUAUUGUUUUUGUGAUUAGUUUAAUCAUUGUUGUUUAAUUUUAAUUUGUGAUUAUUAGUAUCAAAUUAUUGUUUAUAUUUUAGAGAAAAACGUGAAGGAAAAAAAAUAUUGGUUGGUGAUUGAUUGAAGAAAAUUGAAAGAAAAAAAAAAUCCCCCUUUUUUGUCGUUUGGUGGUUUUUUUUGUUGUUUGUUUGUGGUUCCAAACAAAAACUGUGAAAAAAAGGGAAGAAAUUUGAUCUGGGUUUGUUGUGAUUUUUGUGGUGGUGAUUGAAAUUUGGAAGCUUUAGGGUGAAGGGAAAGAAUUUGUGAUUGAAAUUUGGAAACUUUUUGUGGUUGUUGUUGAUGGUGGAAGAGGGUGAAAUUGUGGUGGUGGAUUGAAAGGGAAGAGAAUUUUGGGGGGUUAUGAUUGAAUUUGAAGGUGAAUUUGAAGAAUCAUUGAAAUUUGUGUUGUGGUUUGGUGAUAUUUUGGUUUGCUUGGGUGAUGGGGAUGAGAAAUGAUGGACAAAAACAACAGCUUCUUCAACAAGGUGGUGUUGGUAUUGGAGUUGUUGGUGGUGGAAGAACCAAUGGUUUCUUACCUACCUCGUUUCGUGCUAUCUCGAGUUACUUGAGGAUUGUUUCAUCCGGUGCUUCUACUGUUGCGCGCUCUGCUGCAUCGGUUGCUUCAUCGAUUGUGGAUAGGGAUGAUGUUGCUGAUCAUGAUCAGGUAAUUUGGGCUGGUUUUGAUAAGUUGGAGGGUGAGGGCGAUAUCGUUCAACAAGUACUUCUUCUAGGUUAUCGGUCUGGCUUCCAGGUUUGGCAUGUUGAUGAAUCAAAUAAUGUCCGCGACGUGGUUUCCAAACACGACGGCCCUGUUUCUUUUAUGCAAAUGGUUCCAAAUCCAAUUGCAUCAAAAAAAUCAGAAGACAAGUUUGCAAGCAGCCGCCCUUUGUUGGUAGUUUGUGCCGAUGGAUUCUUCGGAGGAGGAAGCAAUAUUAAGGAUGGGUUGACUGGUUCCCCCAAUGGAACCGCUUCAAACUCCCAUGAUCAAAUGAAUGGCAACUACAUGCCAACUACUGUUCAGUUUUAUUCUAUGAAAUCUCAUUCAUAUGUUCAUGUAAUGAAGUUUAGAUCUGUUGUUUAUUCUGUACGGUGCAGUUCUCGAAUAAUUGCUGUUUCUCAAUCCACUCAGAUACAUUGUUUUAAUGCUACCACAUUAGAAAGGGAAUAUACUUUACUUACCAAUCCAAUAGCCUUGAGUUGUCCUGGUUCUGGAGGCAUAGGCUAUGGACCACUUGCGGUGGGUCCAAGAUGGCUGGCUUAUAGUGGAAGUCCAGUUGCGGUCUCCACUUCCAGCCAUGUUAGUCCGCAGCAUUUGACGCCUUCUGCAAGCUUUCCUGGUUUUUCUUCAAAUAGUAGCUUGAUUGCACACUAUGCUAAAGAAUCAAGCAAGCAUCUUGCUACCGGGAUUGUGACUCUUGGGGAUAUGGGAUAUAAAAAACUUUCCAGAUAUUGCUCUGAUAACAUUGGUUCAGUACAAUCUGUAAAUUCUGGAUCAAAGGUCAACGGAAGCAUUAAUGGCCAUUCAGCAGAUUUAGAUAACGUUGGAAUGGUCAUUGUUAAAGAUAUUGUCACCAAAAACGUAGUUGCCCAAUUCCGGGCCCACAAAAGUCCAAUUUCAGCCUUAUGCUUUGAUCCUAGUGGUACCAUAUUAGUGACCGCUUCUGUUCAGGGUCAUAACAUAAAUGUUUUUAAGAUAAUGCCUCUGCGAGAGAAUUCGUCAGCAUCUGAUGCCGGUCCUUCCCACGUUCAUUUAUACAGGUUGCAACGUGGUUUUACAAAUGCGGUUAUACAAGAUAUCAGUUUCAGUGACGACAGCAAGUGGAUUAUGAUUAGUUCUUCUAGAGGCACUAACCAUCUCUUUGCCAUAAAUCCUCAAGGAGGAUAUGUAAAUAUUCAGUCUAAUGAUGAUAAUUUUAAUACAAAAACUAAUGGAUUAAGCACUGCGACUAAUCAAUCAGUCCGCCGGGCUUCUAUAUUGGCUGUACAAAUGCCUAAACAGCAGAGCCUGUAUGUAGGUGGCCCUCCGAUCACACUUUCUGUAGUAAGCAGAAUUAGGAAUGGAAACAAUGGUUGGAGAGGUACUGUCAGUGGUGCUGCUGCAGCUGCAACUGGUAGGAAGAGUCCCCUUUAUGGUGCUAUUGCUUCGUCUUUCCGUAACUGUAAAGGAAGUGGAGCUGUCUAUGGUGAUGGGAACAAUUCUAAGGCAAAUCAUCACUUGUUGGUCUUUUCACCUAGUGGAUCGAUGAUACAAUAUGCUCUUCGGACAAUAACUGGUCAAGAUUCAGCUGUUGUUUCUGGAUUAUCCCCUGCUCAUGAAUCCACUCCACAGGCCGAAGCAAGAUUAGUAGUUGAGGCCAUGCAUAAAUGGAAUAUAUGUCACAGUCAUAGUCGUAGAGAGCGAGAAGAUAAUGUUGAUAUAUAUGGCGAAAAUGGAAUCGCAGACAGCAACAAGAUAUAUCCUGAAGUUGUAGAUGAGGACAUCAUUAUCCCGAAAAUGAGAAACGGUGUCACAAAAGUGAAUCCAUGUCUCAAGGAAGAGCAUCAUUUGUAUAUUUCAGAAGCUGAACUACAAAUGCAUCAAACUCAGAUUCCGUUGUGGGUGAAGCCAGAGAUAUAUUUCAAUCCAAUGUUGAAAGAGUCUACUAUAAUGGAUGAAGAAGAUGCUUCCGGAGGAGAAUUUGAGAUUGAAAGGAUUCCAACUUGCAUGAUUGAAGCUAGACCAAAAGACUUGGUUCCAAUUUUCAACUAUAUGCAGGCCCCAAAAUUACAACAAACAAGGGCUCCUGCUAUGGACAGAAAGAUUAAUGAACAAGUGUUACAUCACCGUUCUGAGUCGUAUGGAAAUGGCAGGAUCUCACCAAGGAGUGUUUCGGAAACUCCCGAGUACAUGAAUAAUUAUGGUGGUGAAGUUAUUACUGAACAUGAAAAUCACAUAGAAGGAACUGAGUGGGGUAAUCAUGUUAUGCCAUCAGAAACUACUGGUUUUGUAAAUAACAAUGACAAUCUUAAACCAAAUACUCAGCAUGAGAUUGUAAAUAAUAGAAAAGAGCACUUAAACAUGGGGGCUCAGCUCAUGCUUGUAAAUAGCGACAAAAGGCCUGAAAAUGAGGAACAUCUUGAAGAAAAUGAAGAUGAAUUUGAUUGAAGGUAAUCUCUCAGGAACAUCUUGAAGAAAAUUAAGAUGAAUUUGAUUGAAGGCAUGGAAAUAUUCUUUCAUUUGGCACUAGAGGCUUAAUUAACACUGUUUAUAUGAUGGUUGAAGAGGUAGAGAAGCUUGAGGAGUAGUAGCUUGAUGACUACUAUGCAAAGUUGUGGAUACUGCUUUGAGUUUCCUUUUCUGCUUGACAUUGUAAAUGACAGACAAAUGAUGUAUAUCAAUAAUUAAUUAGUUUUCAAUUUGUAAAUAAUAGAAUCAUCUCUUCUUUGUAUUUUUUUUCUUUUUAUUCUAUUAAUUAAAUUGAUUUCCCUAUCA